ensembl:lncRNA
AGUCAGGGUUGGCAUUCUUUCUGUUUUGCGUGUGAGAAAACUGAGGCUCAGAUAUGUCAUGUGACUUUCCCAAGUCAUGAGAGGCUUACCAACUUGUCCCAAUUUCCCUGGGACUUUGCUGGUUUUAAAAUUGGAGGGCCCUCAUCCUGGGAAGCCCCUCAGUCCUGGGCAAGCCAGGCUGGUUGGUCACCCUGCAGCUACGGCAAGAGGCUGAGAUGAGUGCCAGUUACCUGCUCCGGAGGACUGUGGAGCCUGGGCAAGCCACCCCCUCCUUCUGCAGGGAGAACACGAGACUUGGGUAAGCCUCCAGGUCCUGUGCUGGACCCCCUUCCAGUCUUAGACAGACAUCGAGGAGCCACCAGGGCACAAAGAAAGAAAAGUGACUGUGUCUCCUCCCCCACCCAUGCUUGUGGUACAUUCCCUAGGACUGGAAAUUUCCAGACCACGGAGCAGAAAGCUGUGUGAGCUGAUGAGUUCCAGAGGUCAGAAGCCCAACAUGCGUCUUGGCGCGCCAAACCCAAACUAUCAACAGGGCCGCAUUCCUUUCUGGAUGCUCUAAGGAAAAAAUCAUUUCCUUGCUCGCUGAGUUAUUGGCAGAAUCAAGUUCCUUGCAGUUGUAGAACUGAAACUCCUAUUUCCUUCCUUGGCACAUGGUCACCUUCUUCUACCUUCAAAGCCAGCAAUGGCCAGGACGAUUAGCCCUGAGCUAACAUCUGCAGGCAAUCUUCUUUUUGCUGAGGAAGGCUGGCCCUGAGCUAACAUCCGUGCCCACCUUCCUCUACUUUAUAUGUGGGAUACCUGCCACAGCAUGGCUUGAUAAGUGGUGUGUAGGACCCUGCCUGGGAUCCGAACCAGUGAACCCUGGGCCACCAAAGCAGAGCAUGCAAACUUAACUGCUGCACCACGGGGCCAGCUCCUUCUUGCUGGAGAUCUGCUAUCCGAGAAGUAUCAUCAGAAUGAGUAAACAUAACAGCCGUUCCUUGAGGGAUAAUUCCUGCCUGCCUGCCUGCCUGCUAGGGGAGCAAGUGCUGUUCAUCCACGAGCUGCUGCCCAUGUUACUCGCACAGAGCUAAGGGCCCAGCAGAAGAGGCAGACGGAUAAACGCAGAAGACAGGAGGAAGAAAGGGUGACAGAAGCACAUAAGGGAGGCAUCUAACCCAGACAGGAGAGAUCAGGGAGGGCUUCGUGGAGGAAGCUAUGUCUAAAACGAGAUUUAAAUACUUCGCUCUCUCAGGUGAUGGACAAGGAACCAGAGUGGAAGGAGUUUUUCACAGACUGGUCGCUUCUCUGGCUCCGCCCCCAGACAAGUGUCUCAAUACCCGUGACCUUCAGUUCCCUCAUCCAGAUGACAGAAAUCCUCAGGCUCGCCAGCCUCCCUCCCUGGACCAUGAACAGGCUCUGACAACUCUCAAGCACAGUUAUAAUUCCAAGUUAUGUUGUGAUGAAAAGAAAAUGGAGCUGAUCUUGUUAAGUUUCCCAAGGAAAUCUGCAUAGUUCUCUGACCCCUUUCCCAGAGACCAGAGAGGAAAUUGAGAAUGAAGCCCCAGCGGAGCCAGCACCCUGAAAGAAGUGUGUGCAAGCCAUGGAUUUCGAAAUAGAGAUCCUGUCCUCCCGGCUGUGUGGCACAUGAUCGCUGUCCAAUAAAUAUGAAUUGAUGAAUGGCUGAGUGGGGCUUUGUUUUGUUUUGUUUUCAUUUUUUGCAAACUCUCUUAUGACUGUGGAGGGAAAACUAAAUUAAUG